rnacentral:rRNA from 1 species
AUGGUGAGCAAACUGCCCAACGCCACUUGGCCCCAGGGCACCUUCGUGGAGACCGUGAAGAGAUGGCAACAGGGGUGGUUCUAUGUCACAGAGCCUCGUGACUCCACAUGGGCUGCUCCUGCGGAGUUCAAGUCCGGACCCUCAAUACGGCUGGCAUCCUGGCUCAACAAGGGCCUGGACUGGGCGUCGUCCGACGAGGUAACGGUGCUGCAGAAGCGAAUCAAGAGCAUGGUAGAUAAAAAUACCAGCCUCGCCAUCGUGAUCCAGGUGAUGCUCUUCCGUCAGAUUCUCCACUGUCAGGCGCGUCAAGAGCCCAUGUGGAAGUUCAAGCCGGCCGGUCCCCAAACCCUGCAGCGGUUCUUCGGCACGAAGCACGAAGACAUGUGGAAGCUGCUCUUCAAGAACCAGAAAUCAUGGCCGGAGACAACUGAAGACCUCGGCUACGAUAACACCCAUGCUGCGACCCCCGGCUGGACGAAGAAAGCGGAAUGGAUUCACUGUCCGGCUCCGCUGCCCGAAGACUCAACUAUUCCUCUAUUGACGAGGAUGCUGGUCCCGGCGCCGUACCAGGCGCCGGAAAAGAAUGCCAAGGAGAAGGGCAAGGAGGCCAAGAGUGGCCUCCGCCGUAAAGGUGCCUCAGACGUAGUGUCCGAGGACAUCGGAACCCUCUCCUCCCCUGACGAAGAGGAAGAGGAGGAAGAGAGCAACCCCCCCCCUAAGGGGGGGGGAAGAAGAAAAGGGCAGCCCCCACCGAUCUAG